CAGCUCGAAACGAUCUGUCAAAACCGAAAAUAAAAACCGCGAAAAAUGUUCCUGUUUCAAAAAAUUUUGCGACAAAAGACAGCAUAAAGGUGCCAGUCUGCUGACCAUAUAGCAUCCGAAAACUCAUAAGCAUGUUCCUGGAGGAAGUUUUUUCUGAGAUAGAUUGGCAUUGGUAUGUUUUAAUAGCAGAAACACGCAGGUCAAAACACCGAAGAAGCUGCCUUUGCUUGAUCGAAACAGAUGCGCCGAAUGACGAUCCAGGUGCUGCAAAAAUCGAGAGAACUCGAAAAUUUUAAUCUGUCCGCUCGUUGGGUCAAAUUAAGUGCCUUGGACGUCCCAUAUGUUGAGUCGAUACCGAAGAAGCAACAUCGCUAAACUGUGCAGCAAUGGUGCCUUCUGGAGUCGGGAGAAUGCAUUCCAAAGCGGAGGCACACCACUGUUAUAUUGCUGCGACAUUCGGAAAAGCUGCUCCAAAUCAUCAACACAGCGGAUGGAAGCGAUGCCUGUCGGCUUGUUCAGAUUCAUCGAACCCAUUAAAAAUAAAUGAAAAUAGAGAAUAAAUAGAAACAAAAUAAUUAAUCAUAAAUAUGUU